CAUGGAGUAGAACUCUACCCGGGACACACCCAGGAUCAGAGCAAAGUCAUCAUUGGACAGAUACUCCUGGAAAAGAUCGAGGUGACGUCAGUGGGCUUGAGAGAGAUUAGAGACUCACCACGGUGAUCUGGAUGAUGUCGGUGGCGUCCCCAAGCUCAGCCUUCAACUCCUGGUCCGUUCCACUGGAUGAUGAGGUUGCCCAGGUCAAGCAGGAACACAUCCCCCUUGUUGAAGCUGCUCCAGCUCAUGUCCACCUGGAUG